GGUUGUAAACAAACAAGGUCGCAUGUGGGUAAAAACGUGGUGUGUUAUGGAUGGGGCCUGGAAGUUGGAUUUAUCGUAAAAUUCCUCUUUUUGUACGGCACAACAUCGAGAUAUAAUAUAUCCAACAUUUAAAGGAGCUACAGUUUGAAUUUGGUGGAGAAUAUGAAAAAAGUUGAGUGAUCUUCAAGCCAUGAAUACGGCACCACCCACAUUGCUGCAGAAUAUGGAAAAAGUUGAGUGAUCUUCAAGCCAUAAAUACACCUCCACCCACAUUGCUGCAGGAAAACACUUGCUGAGCAGAUUUAUUGUGGGCUAUCAAGACUAGAAUUCAGUAGGAGCUUGUUAACGUAAAGCAGAUGAAUGAUGGGCAGACUGAUUAGUUUAGGAAGCUUGCGAAGUACAAAUGAAGCAGAUGAACUGUGGGAAACCAAGGUUGAGCAAUGAAUUGUGGGAAAUCAAGACUGAUUUGUUUGAAUUAGUAUUCAGUACCAACAGUAGCUGAAUGGUGCUUGAAGCUUAGCGAAGUCAGAUUUUGAGAUAAUGCAAGUGAACUAUAGAAAGUCAAAUUUUGAUAUAGAAUUGUGUGGAAUAGACACUGAUUUAUUUGAUUCCUGCUACAUACGCUGUUGUUACCUGAAGCUUUGCAAACUGUGAUGUAUGGAAAUGAAGCAGAUGGAUUAUGGGACAUCUACUGUGCACUGCAAAAACAUUUGUUGUACAUUCAUAAAAUUGGUGGUUAUGAAAAGAAGUCAGGUUUGUGAUAUAAUAAGUAACUUAGUGUUAGUCCGAUUAAAAUGCUGGCCCAAUUCUGGAAUUACAGUACUUAAAAUGCUGAGGAUUCUGGACAAUGAGUUGAUUAAUAAAACCAGAAAUGAGAAUGAGUAAAUUGAUGGUCCUAUUCUGGACUUGGUGUAAAUUAUUGGUCCUAUUUUGGACUUAGUUAAAAUUUUGUACCGAGAUUGUAAAUGGUGUAAAUUGUUGGUCCUAUUUUGGACUUAGUUAAAAUAGUGUAAAUUGUUGGUCCUAUUCUGGACAUAGUGUAAAUUAUUGGUCCAAUUCUGGAUUUGGUUGAAAUUCUGGAAUAGUGUAAAUUAGUUGUCCUAUCUUGAACUUAGUGUGAAAUUAUGGACUUCUUGGACUUGGUGUAAAUUAUUGGUCAAAUUCUGUGUAAAUGUAAAUGGUUGAGUCCUAUUCUGGACUUUUAGUGUAAAUGUAAAUGGUUGAGUCCUAUUCUGGACAAGGUUAAAAUUCUGGACUUUGGUGUAAAUGUAAAUGAUUCAGUCCUAUUCUGGACUUAGUUAAAAUUCAGGACUUUAGUGUAAAUGUAAAUGGAUGAGUCCAAUUCUGGACUUUAGUGUAAAUGUAAAUGGUUCAGUCCUAUUCUGGACUUAGUUA